rnacentral:rRNA from 1 species
GACGAACGCUGGCGGCGUGCUUAACACAUGCAAGUCGAACGGAAAGGCCCUGCUUUUGUGGGGUGCUCGAGUGGCGAACGGGUGAGUAACACGUGAGUAACCUGCCCUUGACUUUGGGAUAACUUCAGGAAACUGGGGCUAAUACCGGAUAGGAGCUCCUGCUGCAUGGUGGGGGUUGGAAAGUUUCGGCGGUUGGGGAUGGACUCGCGGCUUAUCAGCUUGUUGGUGGGGUAGUGGCUUACCAAGGCUUUGACGGGUAGCCGGCCUGAGAGGGUGACCGGCGACAUGGGUACUGAGAUACGGACCAGACUCCUACGGGAGGCAGCAGUGGGGAAUAUUGCACAAUGGGCGGAAGCCUGAUGCAGCAACGCCGCGUGCGGGAUGACGGCCUUCGGGUUGUAAACCGCUGUCGCCUGUGACGAAGCGUGAGUGACGGUAAUGGGUAAAGAAGCACCGGCUAACUACGUG